CAGUAGCCGCGGGAAAACGAAGGGGGCUAGCGUUGUUCGGAUUUACUGGGCGUAAAGGGCGCGUAGGCGGACUGAUAAGUCAGGGGUGAAAUCCCAAGGCUCAACCUUGGAACUGCCUUUGAUACUGUUUGUCUUGAGUUCGAGAGAGGUAAGUGGAACUGCGAGUGUAGAGGUGAAAUUCGUAGGUAUUCGCAAGAACACCAGUGGCGAAGGCGGCUUACUGGCUCGAAACUGACGCUGAGGCGCGAAAGCGUGGGGAGCAGACGGGAUUAGAUACCCCAGUAGUCCCUGUCUCUUAUAC
rnacentral:rRNA from 1 species